rnacentral:misc_RNA from 1 species
GAUGAAGAACGUAGCGAAAUGCGAUACUUGGUGUGAAUUGCAGAAUCCCGUGAACCAUCGAGUCUUGGAACGCAAGUUGCGCCUCAAGCCAUUAGGUUGAGGGCACGUCUGCCUGGGCGUCACAUAUCGUUGCCUGAUGCCAGUUUCCUCGUGAUGGGUGACUGUGCAGGGCGAAUGAUGGCUUCCCGUGAGCAUUGUUGCCUCAUGGUUGGUUGAAAAUUGAGUCCUUGGUAGGGAGCGCCGUGAUAGAUGGUGGUUGAGUGACGAACGAGACCCAAUCAUGUGAGACCCCUACCGAAUUUGGCCUUCAUGACCCACAUGCGUCUUUGGAACGCUCAUGACGAGACCUCGGGUCAGGCGGGGCUACCCGCUGAGUUUAAGCAUAUUAAUAAGCGGAGGA